CAUGCAGCUAUCAUCAGAUACUAAACAGCAGAGUGACCUUGCUGCUGAAAACGAUAUGGCCUUUGCUCAUUGAUCUGUAGCUGCCUAGUGUUACUUUUUAAUUAUCCAGUAGUCCUGUGUUCCAGGAGCUAUCAUUUGACUCAUUGUGUCUAAUAUUGACCCAGGUAAAUUUGUGAAGUUUACUCUAGAGUGAGGUGCUAUGCUUGUCCUGUGGGAGUAGAUUUGGAGUAUGCUGAUCUUUAUCCUUGUUUCCAUAUAGAGUAUGAUUCUAUUAAUUAAUUAACUUGAUGUCACUAUUUUCUGCUAUAAGGGCCUGGGAGGCACUGGUG